UGCCAGACUCCUACGGGAGGCAGCAGUGGGGAAUAUUGCACAAUGGGCGAAAGCCUGAUGCAGCAACGCCGCGUGAAGGAAGAAGGGUCUCGGCUCGUAAACUUCUAUCAACAGGGACGAAAGAAAUGACGGUACCUGACCAAGAAGCUCCGGCUAAAUACGUGCCAGCAGCCGCGGUAAUACGUAUGGAGCAAGCGUUAUCCGGAUUUACUGGGUGUAAAGGGAGCGCAGGCGGCCUUGCAAGUCUGAUGUGAAAGGCCGGGGCCCAACCCCGGGACUGCAUUGGAAACUGCGAGGCUGGGGUGUCGGAGAGGCAGGCGGAAUUCCUAGUGUAGCGGUGAAAUGCGUAGAUAUUAGGAGGAACACCAGUGGCGAAGGCGGCCUGCUGGACGAUGACUGACGCUGAGGCUCGAAAGCGUGGGGAGCAAACAGGAUUAGAUACCCGCGUA
rnacentral:rRNA from 1 species